CGCGUAGGCGGUCGCGUAUGUCUGCUGUGAAAGCACACGGCUUAACCGUGUGAAGUCGGUAGAAACUGCGAGACUUGAGGCUGGGAGAGGUUGGUGGAAUUCCCUGUGUAGCGGUGAAAUGCGUAGAUAUAGGGGAGAACACUCGUGGCGAAGGCGGCCAGCUGGACCAGCCCUGACGCUGAGGCGCGACAGCGUGGGGAGCAAACAGGAUUAGAUACCCUGGUAGUCCACGCCGUAAACGAUGGGCACUAGGUGUUGGCGGUACUGAUUCCGUCGGCGCCGGCGUUAACGCAGUAAGUGCCCCGCCUGGGGAGUACGGUCGCAAGGCUGAA
rnacentral:rRNA from 1 species